GGCUACAGCCAUACCACACUGAAUGUGCCUGAUCUCGUCUGAUCUUGGACGCUAAGCAGGGUCAGACCUGGUUACUACUUGGACACAGACA
rnacentral:rRNA from 1 species